CCUAAAAAUUUUAGAGGACAGAAUAAUAAUAAUUUGUCUUGUUGCGUUGCGUCACGGUGAAGCAAAAUAUCCUUCUCAGUCUCUUGGCGUCCAGUCAGCUGAACAUCUUUCCAAGUCUAUAACCUGAUUCUCCUUAUACUUAAAGUGUGUAAAAUAUAUGUCCAGCAUGCUGAACUGUUGAUUGACGAUUGGAAAAUUUGUCUUAACAUUUUUAAAGUCUGACGGUUGGCUGCACAGCAAAGUAUAAAAAAUUAAGAAUUCUGAAAAAAAUACUUUCGUAUUCUAGUAAUCCUUAAAGUUAAGAGAAAUGUCUUGCGAAUCCAUUUUCUACACAAUAAUUGUUUUUUUGGAACUAUACGACAGUCACUGGAUCCAGAUGUACAAUUUCUUUCUCCAGAUGCCUUAAGACUGAGGAGAAUAUAUAAUCGAUUCGAUGCAUUCAUAUGUAACUCAAAAUAACACUAUUAAGAUAAGGGAAUAAUAAUAAAAUAUAAAUUUUCUUGCUCACUUUUAUCAUUUCUGGUUUAUAUAAGCAAAUUAAUGGCCGCGGUCCUGCCCAAAAUAAAAAAAUUCCAUCUUUAAACUUGUCCAAUUGCGACAUAAACCACUGUAUACGAUCUACGGUGAGGCAAUUGAUUAAUGUAACGCCCGCUGUGUUCCUUUUGUAUAUUUAUAUAAAUGAAAAUGUAGAAGAUAACGUCCCAAUUAAAGGAAAAGAAACGAGCCCGGGAAUGUGGCUGAGCUUUUUCCGCAUGAUAUAAUCUUCAUAAAACAACACUGCGAUCUUAUACAGUAAAAUAACAGCAACAGAUAUUGCCAAUAAGUAGAAAAUCGCCAUCGUCGCGAGCAGAGGUUACAAUUACAAAUAAUUUACUUUGUAUACAGAUAGCUUAUAUAUAAA